ACUGGUGUUGAACUUGCAAUUUUUUUCCAUCACUGAUUGCUUCAAUGUGAAAUUAUGAAUAAUAUUUAAAUCAAACAGAAGAAAUUGAUUAAAGAAUAUAACAAAACAAUGAAGCAAAAGUGCAAAACAAGACCCAAAUUUUGUGAUUGUCAGCUUAUCAUCAUCAAACAAAAGCUAAACUAAUAGCAAAAUAGAACACAAAUGGCGACAAGGAAUGAAAAUCCAAUAAAUUUGUACAGUUGGUCAUUGCUUCGUCUACGUCCAUGAAUCCCAAUUCGUCACUUCGUGUGCGUGAUAUUCUGCCGCCAGCCGUGACCGUGAAUGAGUUUAGGAGCUACUGAGAAUUCAAGCCUUUGAUGAUGAUUGAUAACGAUUUGAUGAUAAAGAUGACGAUUUGAUGAUGAUGAUUUAAAU
rnacentral:lncRNA from 1 species